UACGUAGGGGGCAAGCGUUGUCCGGAUUUAUUGGGCGUAAAGAGCGUGUAGGCGGCCAUACAGGUCCGUUGUGAAAACUCGAGGCUCAACCUCGAGACGUCGAUGGAAACCGUAUGGCUAGAGUCCGGAAGAGGAGAGUGGAAUUCCUGGUGUAGCGGUGAAAUGCGCAGAUAUCGGGAAGAACACCCGUGGCGAAGGCGGCUCUCUGGGACGGUACUGACGCUGAGACGCGAAAGCGUGGGGAGCGAACAGG
rnacentral:rRNA from 1 species